UAGAUACCCUGGUAGUCCACGCCCUAAACGAUGAAUACUCGCUGUUAGCGAUAUACAGUUAGCGGCUAAGCGAAAGCGUUAAGUAUUCCACCUGGGGAGUACGCCCGCAAGGGUGAAACUCAAAGGAAUUGACGGGGGCCCGCACAAGCGGAGGAGCAUGUGGUUUAAUUCGAUGAUACGCGAGGAACCUUACCCGGGCUUGAAAGUUAGUGAAUCAUUUAGAGAUAGAUGAGUGAGCAAUCACACGAAA
rnacentral:rRNA from 1 species